rnacentral:lncRNA from 1 species
CCGUAUAUGCCAUUAUCUUCACAGAUACACACACAAAAUGAACACUCGGUAAAACCUUAUCCACCCCCCAAAACCCCAAGGAAACCUCCAUUAUCGACCACCAUGCUUCCCCGAGUUUUGAAUUCAAUCUCUCGAUGAUCUUGAUUGCAUAUUAACGUAAUUCAAAACUCGAUAGUCGAUACCUCCUUCUGAAUCCUUAGCAGAUGGAGCUCUCUUCUCCAUUAGUACCCUCAAAUUCAAACAUCUUUCACCGGACCCAUGACCUCUCUUUCUCCUCCUCCAUUUCACCUUUCCCAGUGAAAACCCACUUCCAAAAACUCAAAUUCCGAAAAACCAUUUCUAACCCCGCCAUUUUCGCCGUCGUGGACUCCCAGGAGAAACAGGAACAACUCCCUCAAAACAGCCCACAAAGACUUCUCAAAGAGCUCUCCCAACGCAAGCAAUACGUUUCUCCCAAGAGAAGAGUACCCCCGAAGCGAUUUAUCCUCAAACCUCCAUUAGACGACGCAAAAUUAGCUCAAAGGUUCCUCAACAGCCCUCAAUUAUCGCUAAAGCAAUUCCCAUUACUCAGCUCUUGUUUACCAUCAAUGAAAUUGAACAAUGCUGAUAAAACCUGGAUAGAUGAGUAUUUACUUGAGGCAAAACAGGCUCUUGGGUACCCUUUGGAACCAUCUGAGAAUUACGGAGAUGAUAACCCAGCUAAGCAAUUCGAUACGUUAUUGUAUUUAGCUUUUGGGCAUCCGCAUUGUGAGAGAACGAAUGCGAGACACGUGAGAUCUGGGCAUUCCCGAUUAGGGUUUUUGGGACAGUUUGUUCUUGAAAUGGCAUUGGCUGAGUUUUUCUUGCAGAGGUAUCCAAGGGAGUCACCAGGUCCAAUGAGGGAAAGAGUGUAUGCUUUGAUUGGGAAGAAAUAUUUGCCCAAAUGGGUUAAAGCUGCUAGUUUGCAUAACUUGAUUUUCCAGUUUGAUGACAUGG